GCUGAGUAUAGUGAGAAUGGGAAUUUUUACUUUGGAUAAAAGAGUUCAUGCCAAACCUAAAAUACUUUAAGACAGGAAAACCACACAUCUCUAAGGACCUAUUCUUCUCCUUGGAGAUCCUUCUAGAACUCCAAGAAUUAUUAGGUUUGGGGCUCCAGAAGACCAAACAUCCUAGAAAGCAUGUACUCUGAAUACAUGGGCAAAGCCAGGGACAUCUGUCAAUCUUCAGAGGAAAGAGAAUCAUGACAAGACUGGCUAAAGGAUAUACAACACCAAAAAGGAGAAGCAAUUUCAUUUUUCUAUUACAGUACAGCAGCAAAAAUCUUCAAGUAAACAGAUAACAGGUUUUUCUCCAUUUGUCCUUAAAAAGACUUGGAGACAGGCUGCAUAAAGUCUACAGCAGGGACAGUGUCUGUCAGCACAUUUUAAUUACAUUUAUUUUCCAUAAAUUGAAUUCUGGGGAUGCAUAAAUGGACAGUUUCUUUGUGGCUCUCCCUAAUAGAUAGGGUGAUCACACAAUUUAAUGCACAAACUAAGACAUUUUGGGAAGUAAAAAGGGAUAUUAUAAACAAUUACAGCAUGAAUACAGGCAUAAACUUGGACCUUCUCAUGUAAACCAAGAUGUGUGUUUUCCCUACUGAUUGAGAGUUAUAACUAGCAUUAGCACAGCCAACUUAACAAAAUUAUAUACUAGGGUAUAAAAAAAUAGACAUUAUGCGUGACAAGCUCCCUUUAACUUUUGAAGAUCUGCAACUAUACUACAGUGAGGCCUCAAUAGAAUAAUGAAAUUCUCUGGUCCAACUGUUUUAUCCUAAAAUUCAAAGAUGGUAAAGCCAAUGCAGAACAUGGAGGAAAGAGUGGAGUCAAGAUAACAUGGAGGAAAGAGUGGAGUCAAGAUAGAAGAAAACAACAAAAACAGCAAUAUCAACACAUGCUAUAAUAAGCGUAUGAAAUAAUUCUAGUGAUUGAUGUGAAGGCAGUACAAUGAGGAACCAAAGAAAUUAAAGACCUCAGAUUUUAUGGUACUGAGAUAAGCUACACUGACAAACACAGGAUAUGCCUUGUUGGAUCCCAGCAGGCUGUGAAAAUACUACUACAGGAAUUCUGUUUCAAUUUCAACCAGGCUACAUUUUCAUGUAAGGCUCAGUUUAAAUGUAAUCCUAUUUGGGUGAGGAAGAAAUCAUGCCUCUUGCAAUGGCAAAACUAUGAGGUUUCCAUUCACAGAUAAGAAGUCCAAGAAAAUUCAGGAUUUUUCUCGAAUAAUUCUUACUCCAUCCUCCCUACUGCGGCCUUAAUUCAGGCACAUAAUUUUCACGUGGUUAAACCCAAUGGCCUUUUGCAUGGCCUUCUUACCUACUGUACCCGCAGAGUUUGGUAUUCACGGGAGGUCCUGGAACCAAUCCCCCACCGAUACCAAGGGAGGAUGGAACUCCAUUCUCAGAAAACACAAGAUUUCAAACCUUAGUGCUUGGACCACCACCUUGCCCUUGUUCCUUUGUAAAGGGUGUCAUUAAUGUAUUUCCAAAGGAUGGCUACUACCAUUACCAUCUAAAAAAAAAUGAACUUGUUUGGACAGAG